CAUCCCUAUAGCCCACCAUCUCGACCCAACUUCUCAACAAAAAUAACCCAAAAUGAGAUUGAUCCGAUCCGACCCUUUUCUCAUCCCCAAAGAGACCCAAAAACAUACGCAUUCCAGCAGUAACAGCAACCCAGAGCGUCGAUAACAGAGCAGCACAACGCCCUCAUGAAUUAGUGAAACGACAUCGACAACAGCGAGCCAAUGACGCCUGCUCGACUAAGCGGUGAUACACGGCGUCGGCGAGUGUAGUGCGAAUCAUUACCACUCUGCGACUUUUCUUGUCUUCUUCUUUAGCUUCUUUUUCCAGUUGACAGUCGCAGCAAAGUAGCACGCGAUUUGUCCUUACCAUCACAAGAUGGAGCCACGUCGCAGCAAGGACGCUGCCAUCGAUCCCAGGCGUGAAUUUUCUUUCCCAUUCCGGAAUAAGAGUUAAAGCUUUCAGAAAAAAAGAUGUUCUCCUUUUUGGGUGAAAGCAUUGAGAAUUUGAAUUUGAAAAAAUCGUCCUUUCUCAUCCGUUUUUCCCCUUUGGUGAACCCUAAUUCCCUUCUAUAUAUCCCUCUAUUCACUGUUAGAGGGAUUUUUUUCAGGAGAAUUCGGCUAGAGCAAAGAAAAUAUAUACAUAGAGAUUCCCGAUUUAGCGAAGUCCUAUUUUUUAAACUUUCGAAAGCGACGAAUGAAAGACAACCAAAUAUAUAGGAAUAUACUCGAAAAGAAAAAAAAGAACUAGUUUUUCAGCCCUCGUUUCGUUGAUCUGUAUUCGAGUUUUCCUGUGGUGAGGUCUGUUAUUCGUCGUCAUCCCACUUCGCUGCCCGUAACUAGACCGUUCGAGUUCGCCAUGAACUCUCGCUUUCCCUCUUGCAUUUAAAAGAGAGCCGUAAAGGCUCAAAUUCCCUCGUCGAGUCAAUUGACCAUUAAAAAUGGACGUACAGGUUUUUGAAAUUGAAGGAUUUGAGAUGGAAGAAGUGAAGAGAUUGGUCCACCAAGGCUCAAAUUUAUUUUCCUGAAAUUUGUAUUUUGUUAGUUUGGGUUUAAGCCCUUGUCUUUUGUAUCAAUACCUUUUUAGAAUUUACGACGGGUACAAAUCGGAUAGGCCUAAGGCCUAAAAGCGAAAUGGGUCUAAAUACCGGUUCAGGCGGACAGCAACCAGAUUUGGACCCAACCCAAUUCUCUCUCUC